CUUCAUAAUGGGAUGCAUCCUCAAGAUAAAACAUUUGUGUGAUAUUCCACAAUUAUUAGAGAUGGAUUUACACAUUGACAAGUCUAAAAGGAGACUUGAAUCUCUUCUGAAGUCAGGCCGUGUGAAGCAAUUCUAAAUAGGAAAAGAGCUAUCCAGAUCAGCCUGUCUUAAUGUGGAAGAAAUGAUUGCCUCCUAAAUUAAUUACUGGCUGUGUCACCCUUGGUCACAACAACUGCAAUUAAAGGUUUUGAGUAUGGGUGACCUAGGGUCAUGCCACAGGAUCUCAACUGGAUUUGAGUCCAGAUUUCGACUAAACCACUCCAAAACCUUCCUUUUUUCUAGCCAUUCAGAGGUGGACUUAUUGGUGUGCUUCACAUCAUUGUCUUGCAGCAUUUUCCAGGUUUGCUUGAGCUUGAGGACCUGAACUGAUAGUCAGAGACUGUCCUUCAUUUUCUACUAGAAAGCAGAAUAUAUGGCUCCCCCAAAUUAUUGUACCACCUCAAGCAGCAAAGUGGCAAAGCAGCCAUCACAACGUGACCACCACCAUGUUUGUCAGUAUAAUGUUCAUUUUCUAAAAUGCUAUGUUUUAUGCCAGAAGAAACUCCCAAAAUCUCCCACAUUCCAAAAAGCUACACUUUUGUCCUGUGAGUCAACAGAAUAUUUUUGCAAAAGUCUUGUUGAUCAUCAAGAUGUUUAUGUCAAAAUAAAUGGCUUU